CACACGCAUUUGAACAACAUCUCACAAAUCGUUCCACACAUCAAUAUAUCUCAUAUUUGGAUUUUCAAAUUAAUGUCGAAAACAUAUCAUUGUCUCAUGUAAAUAACAAAUGUUGGUAUCGAAAAUAAAUAGUGUUCACACGAAUUUAUUUGAAAUGCCAAUCAAGCGUCUGUCUUUUGAUUUUCACUGUGUGUCCACAUAUGUUCCACCACACCAUUUAAUAGUUGCGCGUGUAUUCAUGAUCUCAGUGAUUCUGAUGCAUCUACACAAAGUUUAUAAAUUGAGCUGCAUCUUCACCUUCUGGGAUUUCAACUUGUUCGUCACGUACUUCAAAAACAUUGAUUUGCACUACACCAUCAUAAUCAUCCUCGACAAUCAUAUUGUGUAAAAUAAAUAACAUGUCAUGAGCUGCCACAAAGUUUCUGAUUCCCACAUCAUUGCAGUCCCACGAACAAUUCUCCAACGAGCUUGCAGCACUCCGAAUACCCU
rnacentral:lncRNA from 1 species